UGAAUACUUUUGGAAAAACCCGUUUCUAAUAAAGGCCGAAAUAAUGUUUAUCCCUCUUUAACUCUCAAACCAAAGUUCAAAAAAUAUAUAAAAAAAAUAUCGGGAGAUAAGCCGUAGAAUAGAGUACUAAAAAGAAAAUGCUUUCAACAUGAUCGGUUGAGCCACUUUUGAGUUUUCUUUCAAAAACCCUAAAUUAAAGGUCGUAAGUUCAGCGUAAACACGCACUUUUGCGCGACAUGCAGUUAUCAAGAACAUCGACAUAACUUAAGUCCCGUAUUUUUAAAGUAAUACCUUCUUAUUAAAAUCAAAAUUUAGUAUACAGGUUUGAUAAUACACCCUUUAACCUGCGCAAUUUAAAAUGUGAGAAAUUCUCACUCGCUACAAUUCGAUCUAACUCAAGUAAACCUACAUAUACUCUAAACACUUAAUCUACACAAACAUAUACCUAUUUCAUUCUAACAUACAUCUACAACCCUACCCGUAGUUACAGCAUGAAAUAACAAACAUUGUUGCACAAGUGACGUAACUGCAUCAGGAAGGUGCUUGCCUACAGCCCAUUACCGCUAGCAAGGCCACAGUUCAACGACCGACCAAUGUCACCUUGCCCGCUCGCUCCCCGCCUUAUCUACCUAACUACCCAUCUAUAUACCUAGUGCAGCUUGUUUGUCUAGAAUGCACGCGCGCGUCGCGUCAUCUGACUACGCUCCAUAUAGUUGACAGGACGGCAGAAAAUAUUAAGACAGGACUGGAGUUGUUUCAGACGGCAAGCAAAGUGGGCAGAUGAGACAGACUCAAGAAAUCGAACGUUUACCAACAUUAGACACAGGAAACCACCCUGAGACACGAGGCCAGAACAACCCUUUAAAUUCCCGUUGGAUUUUACGAAUUAAAUUAUAUUUCAAUUGUUGCUCCAUUUCAUUAUGUUUGUGCGUCCACUUGGAUCGUACCUAAUAGAUAAGCUAAAGUAGAACUCGGAAUAUAACUGAUUAUAUUACAGAAUUAUAACUUGCAAUUAACUACGGUUUAAUUAAACAAUGCAGCGAG